rnacentral:rRNA from 1 species
CGGGUGAGUAACACGUGAGUGACCUGCCUUUUAGACUGGAACAACUUACCGAAAGGUGAGCUAAUGCCGGAUGAGUUAUAUAAGUGCAUGUUUAUAUAGGAAAAGUUGGGGAGACCUGACGCUGAAAGAUGGACUCGCGUCCCAUUAGCUAGUUGGUAGGGUAAUGGCCUACCAAGGCGACGAUGGGUAGCCGGCCUGAGAGGGUGGCCGGCCACGCUGGGACUGAGACACGGCCCAGACUCCUACGGAAGGCAGCAG